UACGUAGGGUGCAAGCGUUGUCCGGAAUUAUUGGGCGUAAAGAGCUCGUAGGCGGUUUGUUGCGUCGGCUGUGAAAUCCCGAGGCUCAACCUCGGGUCUGCAGUCGAUACGAGCAAACUAGAGUGUUGCAGGGGAGACUGGAAUUCCUGGUGUAGCGGUGAAAUGCGCAGAUAUCAGGAGGAACACCGGUGGCGAAGGCGGUUCUCUGGGAAUGUCCUGACGCUGAGGAGCGAAAGCGUGGGGAGCAAACAGG
rnacentral:rRNA from 1 species